rnacentral:rRNA from 1 species
UACGUAGGUCCCGAGCGUUGUCCGGAUUUAUUGGGCGUAAAGCGAGCGCAGGUGGCUUAUUAAGUCUGGUGUAAAAGGCAGUGGCUCAACCAUUGUAUGCAUUGGAAACUGGUAGACUUGAGUGCAGGAGAGGAGAGUGGAAUUCCAUGUGUAGCGGUGAAAUGCGUAGAUAUAUGGAGGAACACCGGUGGCGAAAGCGGCUCUCUGGUCUGUAACUGACACUGAGGCUCGAAAGCGUGGGGAGCAAACAGG